GCAAUCAUGGCCGAAUGGUUAAAGCGUUAGACUAGAAAUCUUAUGCCCUCUGGUGUCACAGUUUCGAAUCCCGUUGACUGCG
rnacentral:tRNA from 1 species